UACAUCAGAAACGCAUGUAAGCGUCGCAAGUCGCGAAGCACCGCCUACUUGCCUGUCAAUCACCCAGAGCGCUAAACAAGCGAUUUAAAAUUUACCGCCAACUUGUGGAGCCUUAACGGAAAAUAACCGUCUGAAUAAAAUAUUUGGAUAAGCAUAAAUAUACAAGCACAAGGCUUCAGCAUGACUGAAAUCAUAUCUGAUGUUCACUUUACAAAGAUAAAAUACAAGGUCAAACAGGUUGGGAACAACAUGAUGGAGAAACGUCUGUGGCAAAGUUGAGAAAAUGAAAUGUGAACUCGACAUCUGAACAGCGUCAGAUCUGAGAAAUGAGAUUUUCCUCUGGCCGUCUGAGAGCAGGUAUCGUUUCUCCUCAGAAAUGAGCAGAUUCCUUUUUGCUGACGCCGGUUUGCAGACAAUAAACUGUGAAAGCCACAGAGAUGAAUCCGAGCGCUUCUCGACCGCUGCGCGUCAGCAUUUAUUCACAUUCCUGGACCGCGUUACGCUCAUUGUCUAAACUUGAAAAUCUCAGUAUGGAAUGAUGUGAGAAAUCAAUCAGAAUCACUUCAAGCCCCAGUCAAAAUGCGCACGGGACUCCUAUUAGAGUUUAAUCAUCAUUUCUUACCUUAAAGGAAUUUCCAGUGUAACCCAGAACUAAAGCGAUCUUAUACAAAUCCACUGUAGGACAUCAGAAUGCUUUGUGAAAGCUGUUCUAUCAACUCCAAGUGUGAUUUAUUUCAACUGUCGAGUAGCAGGACAUGUUUUCAAUACAAUACAACAGAGAUCUGAUAAAGGUACGACAUCCAAUUGGACUCGAAGAUAGGAAAAAUCCUCCAGG